CUUUUACUUUGUGAAAGGGCAUAAACAGGCCACAACAAAGAAGGAUGGCAAAUGCAGAGCUUUUAGUGGAAAGGUCUCCACACUGGUGAUACAAGGGGACUAGCGGACCAGGAGAUUGGUGUUGGAAAAUACCAUCAAGUCACAGCCAACUUAUGGCAACCCCAGAGGAUUUUCAAGUAAAGAAACAAAGAGAGCACCAGAAAGGAUGCUGCCGACUACCGACCGCAAGAACAAGACAACAACCGAAGAUCCGCCGC